CGGACGGGUGAGUAAUGUCUGGGAAACUGCCUGAUGGAGGGGGAUAACUACUGGAAACGGUAGCUAAUACCGCAUAACGUCGCAAGACCAAAGAGGGGGACCCUCGGGCCUCUUGCCAUCGGAUGUGCCCAGAUGGGAUUAGCUUGUUGGUGGGGUAACGGCUCACCAAGGCGACGAUCCCUAGCUGGUCUGAGAGGAUGACCAGCCACACUGGAACUGAGACACGGUCCAG
rnacentral:rRNA from 1 species